rnacentral:rRNA from 1 species
GGAACCGGGAGAGGUAAGAGGUACUACAGGGGUAGGAGUGAAAUCUUGUAAUCCCUGUGGGACCACCUGUGGCGAAGGCGUCUUACCAGAACGGGUUCGACGGUGAGGACGAAAGCUGGGGGCACGAACCGGAUUAGAUACCCGGGUAGUCCCAGCCGUAAACGAUGCUCGCUAGGUGUCAGGCAUGGCGCGACCCGUGUCUGGUGCCGCAGGGAAGCCGUGAAGCGAGCCACCUGGGAAGUACGGCCGCAAGGCUGAACUUAAAGGAAUUGGCGGGGGAGCACAACAACGGGUGGAGCCUGCGGUUUAAUUGGACUCAACGCCGGACAACUCACCGGGGGCGACAGCAAUAUGUAGGCCAAGCUGAAGACUUUGCCUGAAUCGCUGAGAGAGGUGGUGCAUGG